rnacentral:tRNA from 1 species
GGGCGAUUAGCUCAGUUGGCUAGAGCGUCUGUUUUACACACAGAAGGUCACAGGUUCAAGUCCUGUAUCGCCCACCA